rnacentral:misc_RNA from 1 species
UGGCAAUGAGAACUCUAUAUCAGAAAUGCAAGCUAGUCCACGGUGACUUAAGCGAGUAUAACAUUCUAUAUUUCGAGGGUCACCUAUAUGUUAUUGAUGUUUCACAAUCAGUUGAUCUUGACCAUCCUCAUGCACUUGAUUUCCUCCGAGAGGAUUGUGUACAUGUUUCUGAUUUUUUUAAAAAACAUGGUGUGGCUGUUAUGACAAUCCGAGAGUUGUUUGAUUUUAUAGUUGAUCCAACUAUCAAUGAUGAUUCAGUGGAUAGCUAUUUGGAGAAGGUUCAAGAGAGAAUUUUGGCUAGAGGUGACAUGACUGCAGAAGAAG